GCAAGUGCAUGGAGGAGGGAGCGGCACUGUGCUCGAAGCUGCUGGGGCCCGGAAGGAAGCGUCCACCAGUUCCCUCCGGCCACACAGGGGUCCCUGGAGCAGAGUGGAGGGAUGAAUGCCACCCCCAGGUGGUCUGAAGAGGCAAUGACCUCAUAUGCUUCCUGGCUUCAGCUGCCGUCCCUGCGUCCAUCAUGGGACCCUUGCUUCCCGCCAGAACAGAGGAACAGAAAUUGGAUUUCCCCUCCCACCUUCAACAACGAGAACAACAGGCUAAAGAGAUGACAGUGACUCUCAGACCCCGGACAACAGACCAGGGAGGCCCAUCAUCUCUCAGAGAGGGGAAACCCAGCAGCACCCCCACCUCAGCCUGCAGAGCUGAGAAGACCCAGGGAACAGCCCUUCCGUCAAUGGAGAACGGAGCGGAGGCUGGCAGUGGGGCAGCCAAGCAGCGGGGGCCACCACUUUCCUCCACCUCGUGCCAGGAGACAGCUGUACCCUAAGUGCACAAGCACGACACACACCCCUCAGUCCUGAAGGACCUGCAGCGAAGCACCUGCUCAUCCCUCCCACUGUGGCCCAAGACCUGGGCUAGACCCAGGCUGGACAGGGCAGCAGCCGGCUGGGCCAGGCGCCUGAUCAUCUCUGGGUCUCCACUCGAGUCAGAAUGAGGGUCGCUGCCCCAGUUCCCACCCUUGGCACCACCGGGACACAGCUUGGACUCACCAGGAAGUCCUCUUGGCAGUACACUUUCUCGCCCACGUUGUAGAACGCCUUCCCACGGAGUCGUCUUCCUGCAAAGGACAAGGGUUGAGAGGGGUCCCUGGAACGCUGGAGACCAGGGAUGGAGCCGCGCUUCCAGCUCUCAGCACCCUCCUCCAACAGAUGAGACACUGGGUUAUGGGUGGUUUUCUAGGUUGUUAUUGUUAUAAUAACAAAA